UAGUGUGUGUCAGACUAUUUAUUCUACCAAUCAUUAAUUCACUCAACUCUCUCAGUUCUCAAUCUCACUAGUAUCGCCUCUAUCUCAUCAGUUUUCUCGCCAUCGUCACUUUUAGGGUUUCAAUUCAUGGAGGUUAAAUUUCUCUCCCCUCCUUUAACGAUGUAAAACAAUGAGUUUCUUGUAGUGCCAAGUGUCGAGAUAGUUUUGAUGUGAACUUAUGAUCAUUGUCAAAGAAGACAAAGUUUUUGUGUAUCUUGUGGAUUAGCUUGAAAGUCUUUCUAAUUUUGGAGUCGCUCGAAGGUAUCUGCUAAAGCUUAAAGAGGUGAAAUAAACGAUUUCCAUCGACGGACUGUAGCCUUACCCACAUCCCAUGCUGCACAUCCAGCGAUUGUGACUGAAACUUCCCCAAGGCGUAACACAGAAAAUUUGACUAAGUGUCGAACGAUGGGAGGACCUACGGCAUUUCAAGUUUUAGUGAUAGGAUGGACACUUAGAGUCAAAACAAAAAAAAGGGUGAAAAAUAUCUGAAGUUGAAGCUUGAGCAUCACUAAGCUGCUUGUGAUCUACUGAAUAUAGACUUUUUGCCUGUUUUUCCAUCAACUAAAGCCUGAAGGAAGUGGGUUCAAAAGGCGAUCAAAAUGAGGAGUCGACAUUUUGAUGAAUAACUAUGUGAAUUAGAGUUAUUCUGCCAAAUGAUAUAACAUUCAUGGAAGAUCAAGGACAAUCUCAAACGGCGACAAACUAGAAGAAGGGCGAAUCACAAAUUAACUCGGCGAUUAACGACUAAAUCCACCGAACGGAUUGUCCAGCAUACAAUACGAAGUCUAGAAAUACCAAAAUCUUUAUCAUUUUUAAAAUAUCCAAACAUUAUUACUAUUUUUCACUUUGAGAACUCUAGUUUUUAUAUUUUUAUCUAAUGUUUGGAGAGGUUUUUGUGGGACACUUGAAAAAACAGAUUCUUCAUCCUCUAAUUGGAAGUGGGUCUUCUCCAUU